UGCCACAGCCAUAUCACCCUGCAGCCCAAGACCGGUUACUCACUGAAGCUAAGCAGGCCUGAGCCUGGUCAGUACCUGGAUGGGAGACCACUAGGGAACACUAGGUUGCAGUUGGAA
rfam:Danio rerio chromosome 8, GRCz11 reference primary assembly.